GUUUUAUUUUUUCCAAUUUAAUUUUCUAAUACACCUUUUAAGGUUUUUCCUCUUUGUUUUUGUUAUGAUAUUCAUCUCUUUUUUUUUUUAUGUUGUUUAUUGCCUCACAUAUAUGCAGGUUGAAGCUUUAACAGUUGAAAAUCAACGACUAAAUGGAAAGCUGGAAAAUGCUCUUGGCAAAAUUGGAGUGUACAAAGACGAGAUCCAUGUUUUGGUGGAUGUAAAGGAUAAAACGAAGGAUGCUGUUAAGGAUACAAUGAUUUCAAAUGUGGCAAAAACUAUAGAAACGGCUGUUAAUGUAUCAAAUCAAGCAAUGCAAAUCCACAAUGCGUGCUCUGCUUCUGCAGUUAAGAGAAAGAGAAAUGUAAGCUGAAGUAGGAAGCUAAUGCUGCACAACUUAUUCUUAUGUAUUGUAAAAAGUAAAUUGGAAACUUGACACGUAAAUGUAAAAAGUAAAUUAGAGACUUGACACCUAAAUGUGUUUGAGCCUGUGGUGCUUUUGAACCUUUUUUUUUUACAUGGAUUUCUGCUAGUUAAUGUGAUCAUUUUAUA